rnacentral:rRNA from 1 species
CUUUCUCCGCCGGCGACCGGCGCACGGGUGAGUAACACGUAUGCAACCUGCCCCUGUCAGGGGGACAACCGCCGAAAGGCGGGCUAAACCCGCGUACAUGCCACCGGGGCAUCCCGGAGGCAGGAAAAGGCUUCGGCCGGACAGGGAUGGGCAUGCGGCGCAUUAGGCAGUAGGCGGGGUAACGGCCCACCUAACCGACGAUGCGUAGGGGUUCUGAGAGGAAGGUCCCCCACACUGGUACUGAGACACGGACCAGACUCCUACGGAAGGCAGCAG